rnacentral:rRNA from 1 species
UGGGCGCAGCCUGAUGGAGCACACCGCGUGAGUGAAGAAGGGUUUCGGCUCGUAAAGCUCUGUUGUUAAAGAAGAACACGUAUGAGAGUAACUGUUCAUACGUUGACGGUAUUUAACCAGAAAGUCACGGCUAACUACGUGCCAGCAGCCGCAUAUUG